rnacentral:rRNA from 1 species
GACGGGGCCCGCACAAGCGGUGAGCAUGUGGUUUAAUUCGAAGCAACGCGAAGAACCUUACCAGGCCUUGACAUGCAGAGAACUUUCCAGAGAUGGAUUGGUGCCCUUCGGGAACUCUGACACAGGUGCUGCAUGGCUGUCGUCAGCUCGUGUCGUGAGAUGUUGGGUUAAGUCCCGCAACGAGCGCAACCCUCGUGUUUAGUUGCUAACAGUUCGGCUGAGAACUCUAAACAGACUGCCUACGCAAGUAGGAGGAAGGUGAGGACGACGUCAAGUCAUCAUGGCCCUUACGGCCAGGGCUACACACGUGCUACAAUGGGGUAUACAAAGAGCAGCGAUACGGUGACGUGGAGCAAAUCUAGAAAAUGCCUCUCAGUUCGGAUUGUAGUCUGCAACUCGACUACAUGAAGUUGGAAUCGCUAGUAAUCGUAGAUCAGCAAUGCUACGGUGAAUACGUUCCCGGGUCUU